CUUGCAGAUUGCUGCUGGUCUGAGAAUUGAGAUUAAUAGGGCUCUAACUUUCUUGCGCGAGAUUGCUUCAGGACAUGAUUUGAAGAAGUUUCUUGAUGAUUUUUUGUUGAUGAAAUCUCGCAAUUGAAGGCCAUUGAAUUUGGCUUGUCCGAUUUUGUGAAACCAGAUGAAAGGCUUAAUGACAUCGUUGGCAGGUCAUCCUUGGAUUAGUAACUAUAAUGAUAUUCAGGCUCAUGAAAGCCUAUAUGCG